GCGCUUGCUUUGGCUGCACAUAUAUUAAAACUGGAAUGAUACAGAGAAUAUCAUCAUGGCCAUGGUGCAAGAAUGACACCCAAAUUUGUGAAGCAUUCCAUAUUUAA